UACGUAGGGACCGAGCGUUGUCCGGAUUCAUUGGGCGUAAAGAGCUCGUAGGCGGCUGUUCAAGUCGAACGUGAAAACUCGGAGCUCAACUCCGAGCCUGCGUUCGAUACUGGACGGCUAGAGUCUGGUAGGGGGAUCUGGAAUUCCUGGUGUAGCGGUGGAAUGCGCAGAUAUCAGGAGGAACACCAAUAGCGAAGGCAGCUCGCUGGGACGGUACUGACGCUAAGGCGCGAAAGCGUGGGGAGCGAACAGG
rnacentral:rRNA from 1 species